AUGAGCAGGCAGAUUACACAAGUUUAUGACUUCUAUGAUGAGUGUCUUCAUGAAUACGGCUCGGUGAAUGUCUGGAGAUGUUGCACAGAAAUAUUCGACUAUUUAAGUUUGUCUGCACUUACUGAGAACAAAAUCUUCAAUGUCCACGGAGGCCUUUCCCCUGCUAUUACGGCAGUGAAUCAGGCUUUAUUUCACUUGGAGAAAAGUAAUCAGGAGCUCAAGGGUGACCUCAAGUACAUGUACGUCUACACUGCAAUGUAA
rnacentral:rRNA from 1 species